rnacentral:lncRNA from 1 species
GGGUGUCAGCUGGAACAAAACUCUGUGAGCCCCACGGAAGCAUCUAGCGGGGAGUACCAAUGACCUCCAAAGCCCUAGACAGCAAGUGUUACAGUGGGAGGCACCUGGUGGAAGACUCAUCACUCACUGCAGAUGUUACUUUAAGACAUUCUGGAGCAGCGUCAUGUGCAGGAACAAUAAGGAAGUGAGUGCUUUUGUAAUUCCUGAACAACUGUGUCUUACACUUACUAAGUUCUCUUGCCUGCCACCAUGUAAGAUAUGCUUUUACUCUUCCGCCUUCCACCGUGACUGUGAGGCCUCCCCAGCCAUGUGAAACUGCCUUUGAGCUUAUACUGAAUUAUACCACCAGCUUUCCUAGGUCUUGAAGCUUACAGACAGCAGAUCUUGGGACUUCUCAGGCACCAUAAUCAAUCAUAGAUAAAUGAUCCAAUGAUUCGGAACUUGAAAAGUGGUAGCUUUAUGAAUUCUCCUUAAGAAGAAACCUGUGCCCUGAUCUUGCCUACUCACCCAAAGGCACUGUGAGAUAGCAUCAAAGGAACAGCUAGUAAGAGACACAGAGCCAGAAAUCAGGGAAGUAAAAUACACUUGACAUCUACGUUCGGAAAGAAAUUUUAGGAGGCAGAAGCAAAUGGAUCAGAAGCUGCUUAUAUUUUUGCAAGAUUACCAAAGAAACCAUUGGUGGAGAAAGUUCUGUGACCAACUUGUCUGAGUCUAGUAAGAUUGAACGCUCACACACAAGUUUCAUGAAGUGGGUUUGAUACUUACAGAUAAGCAGCAAGGACCAACAGAAGCUGAUGAUCUAUGGUGAACUUUUUCCCAAGGCUCCGGAAAGCUGCCUAAAGUAGAUGGAGUCUUCUCUGUGUGUGCCCCACUGGUCCUGCAGUUGAAGGAUCCGGUAAAGCAGCCUGCCCUUGGUUUUAUACUCCAGAGGAACGUGAUUCGCUGGACUAAAGCAUUGAAGUGCAUCCUGUUUCCGGGGGGCACUGGAACAGAGCCUGGUCUGUUCUAGCCAGUCCCUUUCUAUCUCAGGAUAACAUUCUACAGUUAUUCUUGAGAACUAUAAUCAAAUAAGCAGGGAGAACUGGCCUUGGUUCUUAUCUUUCUUUCAGGAAAGCAGAGGCUCAUUGUGGAACCCUCAAGGAGCAUGGGGUCGUCUUCAUCCCUCAGUUUAUAAAUGGCCAAGGAGAGUAAUGCAACAAAAACUUCUCAGAGUUAAAAGCCAGAGUUCCUAAAGAACCGUGGACAAAGGGUUCUGUCUAGUGGGCAGAAUUCAUCCAGCGAAGGAAAUUUGGAACCCAGGUUUUCCCAACCUACAUCUACAAAAUGGAAUGGGUCUGAUUCGCAAGUUUUCAGAGAAAGAAGCCAACCUUAAUCAGACUGUGAUAUGAUGAGGAAAUAAAACUUGCUGUGCUAAUCAACU